CUAUGUACGUAAAAAAUGAGAGAGGAAAUACCCCUCUCUGUUUGUCAGCAACAUUGGGUAGUGUCAAAAUGUGCAAGUGCAUUGCUAAGGUAGAUUGUAAGUUAAUCGGUGUUCGCAACAAGAAGGAAAUGACCCCUUUGUUCUUGGCUGCUCUCAAUGGUAAGAAUCAUGCUUUCCUCUGUCUUGAUGAUCUUUGUAGCCAGGACGACCGCUAUCACUAUUGACGUCGCAGGAACAAUGGCGAGACUGUUCUUCAUUCUGCCAUCAAUGGAGAAUUCUUUGAUUUGGCAUUUCAAAUAAUUUGUCAAUAUGGAGACCUCGUUAACUAUGUAACCGAAAAAGGAUCGUCUCCACUCCAUGUUAUGGCCACCAAGCCCUCUGCCUUCAAAAGUGGAAGGGCCUUGUAGGGUUUGACAAAAUCGUUUACUACUGUACAUUUGUUGAUGAGCUAAAGCAAGACAAGGUGAGAGAGGAAGAAGAAGAGAGAAAGAAACCCAAGCUUCCGGAGAACUAUCAAACUUGUAUCAACAUCUUUGUACUGUUCAGGGAUGCCUUCUGUGUACCUUGUGAGUAGUAUGUGUGAUUUCUUAGCUGUGCUAGGAAUAUUGAUAAGGAAGAGCCUACCGUCUAAGAAAGUAUACCAAAAAAUUAACCAAACCCUUAUAUCAAUGGUGCAGAUUUAA